GGCUGGGAACUCUGGCUAGCAAAGAGCCCCCUGAAAGGCCAGGAGAGGGAUCAGUUGGGAGGGCAAGGCCCUGGGUCCUUCCCCCAGCCCCCAUGCCUCCUUCUGACAGAGAGCUAUAGAGAACAGAGUGGAAGCCAGACAGCCCACACAGUAAUCUCUCCUACAGAGGGAAGCUAGAAGGGUCCAGGUCUACCCUGCUCCAUACUCUACUCCUGAAGGACUCUGCCCCCUCUGCCUGGGAGUGGUGGCCUUAGGAAAAAGUGGCAAUACCAUCCUGUCCUCGGCCUUCUGCAAGACUGACUCACACUGCCUCCGUGGAGAAGCCCCAGCCCAGUCUAGGUGAAGAUUUCGGGACCACUUCUCAGAAUGUUUCUAAAGUGCAUGAUACAAAAUACUUAGCGCUACGCCAAGCUCAGACCUCCGCCAGAGCGAGGCCUCAGCUCUCUCAUUUCAGCCUGCUGCAAGGUCACUCUGUGGUCCUGUCCCGAUCAAAGCCCUGCCUGUGGGGCACAACGUGAACUGGACCGGCCAGCGGCGAGAGAUCCCAGCGCCAGAGAAGGAAUCCUGGGAACGGCCUCCUCCCAACCACAGCACAUCCAGGCUGUUUCUGCUGCUUUGCUACCUCCAAGAAGGGCCGCUCUGUCCUCUGCGGCUCAGCCCACGGCCGUGGCAUCCCUCUGGUCCCUCAAAAGCAUUGCUUAGCACAGAGGAGCAAAGGUUUGGAUCCCUGCUCUGGGGGUCCCGACUCCAAGCAGUCAGAAAGCCUUCUCUGGUAUCUAACCUCACUCCACUGCAGGCUCCAACUGUCUCCCCAGUACCAUCCCACAUCUUCCUGGGCCCCUCUUCUGGAAAGGCAGAAGCAACGUGCAAUUGACUUCAGAGACUCUCAGAAUAUCAGUGCAGGAAGGGCUUGCAGAUCAGCAACUCAACUUCCCAAAGUGACAGAGGACAGUGAGGCCACAGAUCAAAGAGAUCUGUCCAACAUCAUCUGGAAGGGAGGCAGGGGAGCUAAGGCUUAGCUCAGGUCUUCCGGCUCUCCAUCUGCCUCCCACUAAAAAAGAAGAAAAAACAAACAAACAAACAAACAAACAAACAGGAGAAACCUUGAGGGCUGUUCCUGCACUUAAUGAGAGAUGGGGCGAGGAGCCAAACUUUGCAUUAAGGAUGCAGGGAUCUAGACGGGGCACCCCGUUGGCCUCCAGAACACCAGAGUCCAGGAGCACCAGUGAGAAGGGGGCUGAGUGGUUGGAACCCCCAGAAAUCUUGAGGCAGACCGGGCCUCUGAUGGACCUUAAGCCUAGGGGGUGCAGAGAGUCCUGGUGCAAGGCAUGAGCAUCUCUCACUGGUGAAGAGAGAGUUACUCGCUCAUCUCAGAUGGCUAUCUGGAAGAGAAACAGACUCACUUCUCCCAGCCCCACCAUUUCCAGGAAACGCUGGGGCACCAAGCGAGAAGCAGUUAAAAGGCGCAUUAAUCGCAAAGCCUGCAGCUGUCGCUGGGACUGCUCACUCCACACCUGGGGUGGACAGCAGGGGCCCCAGGGCAGGAGCUCUGCCUCCACCCACCCCCCCACCCACCGCAAGUACAACGCAGCCCUGAGCAUCCAGCGGGGUGCCCUGCCCACCUGGCCACUUGCCAUAAUCCUCCACCCCAGCUGGGGUUCACACACCUGCUGCCCAGCGUCUCAAGACAUCCCCCCUCCGCAGACCGCCAGGCGGCCAGGGGCUGUGUUUGACUAUGACCGGGGCCACAGCCUUCCUCCCGGUGCGGUCAACCCUUCUCCGAGGAGUCCCAGAGCCCACUGAGGCCUUCCGGGGAGGCUGGUGACAUCCACAGGCAGGCUGCCGGGCCCCACGACCCCGUCCACAUGAUUCCUGUCCACACAGCCCUUAUUCCAAGCGUAGGCCGGGUCUACACACAUCAGAACCAUUUGACAUGCGUCCCAAAUCCUGGUUCCCGGGUUGCCCCACAGAAUCCAAACCCUUCAGUGGGGGAGGGCAGGGGCGAAGCCUUGGAGCUCUGCAUUUUAAUAUAUUCCCUUGGUAUUUUGGAUACGA